GGACCCGCACAAGUAGUGGAGCAUGUGGUUUAAUUCGAAGAUACGCGCAGAACCUUACCAACACUUGACAUGUUCGUCGCGACUUUAAGAGAUUAAAGUUUUCGGUUCGGCCGGACGAAACACAGGUGCUGCAUGGCUGUCGUCAGCUCGUGUCGUGAGAUGUUGGGUUAAGUCCCGCAACGAGCGCAACCCUCACUUUUAGUUGCCAUCAUUUAGUUGGGCACUCUGAAAGAACUGCCAGUGAUAAGCUGGAGGAAGGUGGGGAUGACGUCAAGUCCUCAUGGCCCUUACGUGUUGGGCUACACACGUGCUACAAUGGUAUCUACAACAGGAAGCAAGACUGCGAAGUUAAGCAAAUCCCUAAAAUGUACCUCAGUUCGGAUUGUACUCUGUAACUCGAAUGCAUGAAGCUGGAAUUGCUAGUAAUCG
rnacentral:rRNA from 1 species